rnacentral:rRNA from 1 species
UACGGAGGGGGCUAGCGUUGUUCGGAAUUACUGGGCGUAAAGCGCACGUAGGCGGCUUUGCAAGUCAGAGGUGAAAGCCCGGGGCUCAACCCCGGAAUUGCCUUUGAGACUGCAUCGCUAGAAUUGUGGAGAGGUAAGUGGAAUUCCGAGUGUAGAGGUGAAAUUCGUAGAUAUUCGCAAGAACACCAGUGGCGAAGGCGGCUCACUGGCCCGAUACUGACGCUGAGGUGCGAAAGCGUGGGGAGCAAACAGG